rnacentral:misc_RNA from 1 species
AAUAGCCCUCCGAAAUCUUGCUAUUUAGGAAUAUUAAACAUAUAUUACUGACAGAACCCAUUCCAUAACCCCUAGUCUAUUUUGCGAGACGAAUCUAACGAGUAACGAGGUAUAUUAAUCUAUGAUUAGUGGAUGAUUAUUGUAGCAUCACUGUAGCAAAUCGUGGAUUAAUAUACCUCGUUAGAUUCGUCUCGCAAAAUAGCCUAGGGAUUAUGGAAUGGAUUUUAUCAUUAAUCUACGUUUAAUACUCAUAAAUAGUAAGAUUCCGGAUCCAAACAGG